rnacentral:rRNA from 1 species
UACAGAGGUGGCGAGCGUUGUUCGGAAUCACUGGGCUUAAAGCGUGUGUAGGCGGAUCAGUAAGUGUCUUGUGAAAUCCCCCGUCUCAACCGGGGAACUGCUGGGCAAACUACUGGUCUUGAGGUAGGCAGGGGUGCUUGGAACUCUUGGUGGAGCGGUGAAAUGCGUAGAUAUCAAGAGGAACGCCUGUGGAGAAAUCGGAGCACUGGGCCUAAACUGACGCUGAGACACGAAAGCGUGGGGAGUGAACGGGAUUAGAUACCCCGGUA